rnacentral:piRNA from 1 species
UAUCUAUUCCCAAACUCAACAGGGAGAGUAAA